UUUAUACUACAAAAUGGCGUAGAAUAGUGCAUAAGUAUGCGAUUUGGGACGCAGCUAAUGUCUCCGACACCACCUGUAGUCCCCUUUAGCAACUUGAUAGCAACCGUCUUUUUUAAAGAAGCGUAACCGAUUUAAAAAGUCAAGAGUGUGCUGUAGCUGAUGUGUUUUAUGUCGUAGAGUAAAACGUGAAAUUAUCUGCAGUUUGUGUUUGCCACAAACCUUAUUUAAGCGAUUUUACUGGAACCCCAUUCAAAAAACCCAUUAACUUUAGUACGAGGAAACCGGAACUGCUAAAAUGCUAACUCGCUUCCGGGUUUUUGCAUACAACUUGACGUCAUAGUUCCUACACUCUAUUGUUUUUCCAAUUGUGAAAGACAAAGGUUUUCAACUAUCUUCAAAAUAUCUUAUUUUGUAUUCAAUAGAAAAAAAAAGACAGCCAGGACUGAAAACAAGCAAAAGCUGAGCAAAUGAUGACAGAAAGUGUUCGGUUUGUGGUGAACUAUCCCUUAGAAUACUCUAGUCUAUGACUGUACUCACCGGUAGAGGGCGGUGUUGCUCCAAAAAGCGCGGGCUUUUUUUCCCCAUCUGAAGCUCAGAGAUGACAGAGACGUGUGUACCUCAGUCAACAAAAUGGCUCACAUCUCGAGUUCUCCAGAGAAACCAGCCAUGAGCCAUGAAUGUUCAUAUUACAGUCAUACAGGCUCUCUCCUCGUGCUGACACGAACGCCAAACACACGCGACGUAAACAACAACACAAUGUUUUAAUGGAGGAGUCCUGUAGGAUGAUGAAGACAACAACUCCCAUGAUUCCACACUCAGUCAUCCUGUAAUCAAACUACGUCUUUGUUGGUUGUGAAUACACCCUCUAGUGGACAGAAUGACAUACUGCGGCUUUAAGAAAUCAUGGAUGACUUGUGGGACUUUGAGCGUCUCAGGACCCUUGCUGUCUAUGGAGGAUGAGGGAGCUCUCAAAUUUACUCUAAAAUACCACCAUUUGUCCUGCGAAGAUCUCAGGAGUUUGGACAGAUAUGAGGGUGAGUCAGUAACAGAAUCUCAAUUUUUAGGUGAACUAAUUCUUUAACAGAUUAAAUAGCUUACACGUUAACAUUAAAAUUAAAAUAUUAAAAGGAUAUAAGAUGCUGAUGACCGUUAAACACAUCACAACUGUCUUGUUAAAAGGGUGCAUGAAUAUUAAUACAUAACAAGUGGAUCAUGUACUGUACAUCCAUAUCAUUAGAUUAGUCAUUAAUGUUACAUCCUCCCCGUCCUCUAGCCUUGCUCACUUCUCCUUGUCCACAUUCCUGUAGUCUCUCUGGGU